rnacentral:tRNA from 1 species
GCUCCCAUCGUCUAGCGGCCUAGGACGCCGGCUUCUCAUGCCGGUAACACGGGUUCAAAUCCCGUUGGGAGUA